AUAAGACAGGGAAUCAGGAGACAAGAUGGAAAACGAAAACAAAGAGGGUGGUGGAGAAAUCAAGAGAGAUAAGUAUAAGGAGGAGGAUGACAUUUGGAACAGGGGUGCCGUGAAGAGGGUGGGGGAAAUGGCUCCUCUGAAAACAUGUGCUGUCCUCACUAUAGGCUGUAAUCAAGUCCCAGGUGUUCAGCAUCAGGGAGACUUCAGCUUUGGCAAAACACAUCACCAGCUCUGGGACACUUCACGCCCUCUUUGCUGUCCUUGCUUUGAGAGAGCUGAGAGCUUUCCAGCCCUGACAAAAUACCUGCUUGAGGAGUUCCUGUAGUGAGGAUUUAGUGUACUAAUAAAAGGAAAGGAAAAUUGGGCUUUUGUUGCCAAAGUCUUAGUGCAUAUCAGCCUUGUGAAACAGGUCUCUCUAAGCUCCACUGGUGCAUAAGGGGAAAUAAAUGUUUUGACAGAACAGCUCAUCUGACUUAUUUUAAAUGUCUGCAUCAAGAAGAGAGCAAUCCCACCAUGGAAAUAACUGUCUUUACAUUAAGUUCAUAGGGAAUGUAGCAUGACUAACUCAGGUACAUAGCUGAGUUAUAUCAGAUAAAUACUGCCCUGAUGGCCAUGAUGUGGUUUCAUGCCUUAGUGUGUGUGAACGUCCAAUUUUAUUUAAAACCUGUUCUAUAUUUACACAAGGCAUAUUUGGCGCAAACAUCCAGCAGUCAGAACAGUUGACUUUGAGUUGGUAUCUUCAUUCUGGCCACAGCUGCCACCUGGUGUCGAUGCUGCAUAUGAAAUUCCUGAAAAAGAUGAAAUGGUCAUUUUUAAAGGGAAUGAAUUCUGGGUUGUGAGAGGAGAUAUCAUACUUCCUGGAUACCCCCAAAAACUCUACACCCUGGGCUUUU